CUUUAAUCGAAGGCAUACCAGUUGCGGCUAAAUGCCUCCUUUGUAGGCUCAAAAGUUUAGCUAAACGGAGGAAUUCUAGCUGAACGAAGCUGUUAUCACUGCAGAUUUGCACUGGGAAGUCUCACUAUGGGAGAUAAAGCGAGCUUCAUACCAAAGACUCCAUACCCAGGGCUUGAACUCGAUACCUCACUUACCGCUCCACCACAUCUUUGGUGGUAUGUCAUUGGCUAUUAAUUUCAUUAUUUUUCAAAUAAUCAAAAUAAAGUAAAAUUAACCAAUCUUUCUUCCAAAUCCACUCACUCAUGAUUUUUCCAUUAACGAAGACAUGAGGGAUCCAUGAAUAUUAUUAUUUAACUCAAGUAAUUUGGAUUUUUAUAUAAUUUAAAACCUUAUGUAUAAGAAUAAUUUGUGAAAGUUUUAUAAAUAUUGAACAAAAACAAAGCAUAACACGAUUCAUUUAGUUCAUUUCCUCUAGCUCAGCAUAACCUGAAUAUUGGAGUUCGAUUAAUUUAAAUUUGUGCAUUACAAAGGCUUUUUUUGCACGCUCAAGGCUCAAACUCAAAACAUCUGAUUAACAGUAGAGGAAUUUCAACCAUCUUACGACAACUCAAGUUGAUCCAACCUGUACAUUAGAUAGAGAGCGGUGUAAUAAUAGAAAUAGUAUUAUCUUCAAUUCAUGUGUAAAUGUUUUUUCAACAAAUAUUUUUAAUUACUAAAAGAGAAAAUAUUAGUGUAAAGAUUAAAAUAUGUCAACCGUACAUUUGUUUUUGUCUUGUCGUAACAAUCCAAACCUAGGAUGUAUAUAACACACCGAAAUGGAAUUUGCCUAGCGUGUUAUAUACAUCCUAGGCCCUCAGCGACUUAGCGUCCUCCCUGAAAUAAGUGGGAUGAGCCUAACCGUACUUGAACUCCAAGGUUUGCCCCACUUGUGUGGGGGUAAUAUCAGCUUAGAGACAUGUGGCAUCAACAACAAGACCAGCAUGAAGCGUCGGCGCAACGAGGAGCGUUGAACCUCGAAAGGCCUCAUCUGAGAUGACCAUGAUAGAGGUGACAACUCGUAUGGGUCUGGGAUAAGGGUCGGGUUUAUCAGGUGUGCAGAUAAGCUCAUACGGAUCUGACCUGUAUAGGAAUAUUAGUUGGCGCCUUCUAACGGAUUAGACGCUAGAUUCGUUCUCUUACCUAACUUUGUUUAUCGACGUUCUAUUUCAUUUA